rnacentral:rRNA from 1 species
CGGGUGAGUAACGCGUGAGGAACCUGCCUUUCAGAGGGGGACAACAGUUGGAAACGACUGCUAAUACCGCAUAACGUAUUUGUGUCGCAUGGCAUGGAUACCAAAGAUUUAUCGCUGAGAGAUGGCCUCGCGUCUGAUUAGCUAGUUGGUAGGGUAACGGCCUACCAAGGCGACGAUCAGUAGCCGGACUGAGAGGUUGGCCGGCCACAUUGGGACUGAGAUACGGCCCAGACUCCUACGGGAGGCAGCAG